UGAGCAACCUGCCCUUGACCCUGGAAUAACAGCUGGAAACAGCUGCUAAUACCGGAUACGACCUCCGAUGGCAUCAUCUGGAGGUGGAAAGCUCCGACGGUCAAGGAUGGGCUCGCGGCCUAUCAGCUUGUUGGUGAGGUAAUGGCUUACCAAGGCGACGACGGGUAGCCGGCCUGAGAGGGUGACCGGCCACACUGGGACUGAGACACGGCCCAGACUCCUAGGAGG
rnacentral:rRNA from 1 species